CACGUAGGGCGCAAGCGUUGUCCGGAAUUAUUGGGCGUAAAGAGCUCGUAGGCGGUUUGUCGCGUCUGCUGUGAAAACUGGGGGCUCAACCCCCAGCCUGCAGUGGGUACGGGCAGACUAGAGUGCGGUAGGGGAGAUUGGAAUUCCUGGUGUAGCGGUGGAAUGCGCAGAUAUCAGGAGGAACACCGAUGGCGAAGGCAGAUCUCUGGGCCGUAACUGACGCUGAGGAGCGAAAGCAUGGGGAGCGAACAGG
rnacentral:rRNA from 1 species